AAAUUCAAACACAAAGGUCUUACCUUGUCUUUGUUUAUAUAUAUAAUUACUCCAAUGGAUGUAACGAUUCAAUUGGUUAAUUUUGAGUCAUGUAGGUUUAUUCAGUGAUUUGUAAUUUGCGGGUAUGAAAUGGCUUCAAUUUCGAAGGAUUCGCCAUUUUUUGUGCCAUUCUUUAUUAUCAAAUUAAACUCUCAUCUUCGCCAAUAACAACUAUGAUCUAGCUCAGGAAGCUGAGCAUCUUUAUUCUGUGGCUAUAGACUCUGAAGAUUUCAAGCUAUGAAGAGUAUUACGUACAAUACAUUUUAAACAUUGAGUUCAUGCCUACAAACUCAUCUGAAGACCAAAAAAAUGUUAAAAUUAGGUACUGGUUAUGUAUCCGAUGAAAUAGUUGAGGUACACACGGAUACUAUGGUACAGUUACUGUUAUUGAUGAGUUCCCCUGUAAACUUCACUGUUAUUGUUUUCUCGCAGAUAGUUCUCUCUUCUUUCCUCAUCCAAUAAAAGGAUAUUCACCUUCUUCAUAAAUUUAAACAGUUAAUGAAAAUUCACAGCACCUUGUAACUCCU